rnacentral:tRNA from 1 species
CAGUGAGUUGGCAGAAUAAUGUCAUCGACUUAGGGCCGAUUCAUGGGAUAACCCACUCACUA